rnacentral:rRNA from 1 species
CCCGGCGCAUUAGCUAGUGGUGAGGUACGGCUCACAACGGCACGAUGCGUAGCGACCUGAGAGGGUGAUCGGCCACACUGGGACUGAGACACGACAGACUCUACGAGCAGCAGUAGAUCUCGCAAUGACGAAGUCUGACGAGCAACGCGCGUGAGUGAUGAAGGUUUCGGAUCGUAAGCUCUGUGUAGGAAGAACAAGUACCGUCGAAUAGGCGGUACUGACGG